rnacentral:sRNA from 1 species
GAAGUUUAAGGCUGGCGGCUGUUGGUCGCCACGGCACACGAAACAGCGUUGGUUCCCCUAUGUAAACGUAUUGCAGCCGGUGUAACACGGCUGGCGGAAUACGCUGUAUAUCAGGUCUGUUUCGUGUGCUGAAUUGUUGACGCAUUUAUUUAUUGGUAUCGCAUGAACCCCAUCGUAAUUAAUCGGCUUCAACGGAAGCUGGGCUACACUUUUACUC